rnacentral:rRNA from 1 species
AACCCAGUGCAAUUCGUUGCACUAUCGUUAACUGAAUACAUAGGUUAACGAGGCGAACCGGGGGAACUGAAACAUCUAAGUACCCCGAGGAAAAGAAAUCAACCGAGAUUCCCCCAGUAGCGGCGAGCGAACGGGGAGCAGCCCAGAGUCUGAAUCAGCUUGUGUGUUAGUGGAACGGUCUGGAAAGUCCGACGGUACAGGGUGAUAGUCCCGUACACCAAAAUGCACAGGCUGUGAACUCGAAGAGUAGGGCGGGACACGUGGUAUCCUGUCUGAAUAUGGGGGGACCAUCCUCCAAGGCUAAAUACUCCUGACUGACCGAUAGUGAACCAGUACCGUGAGGGAAAGGCGAAAAGAACCCCGGCGAGGGGAGUGAAAAAGAACCUGAAACCGUGUACGUACAAGCAGUGGGAGCACCUUCGGGUGUGACUGCGUACCUUUUGUAUAAUGGGUCAGCGACUUA